rnacentral:rRNA from 1 species
GACGAACUGUGCAAACGUUAUUCGGAAUCACUGGGCUUGAAGAGUGCGUAGGCGGUUUUGUAAGUAGGGUGUGAAAGCCCCCGGCUCAACCGGGGAAUUGCGCCUUAAACUGCAAGGCUGGAGUGAGGUAGGGGUGUGUGGAACUUCCAGUGGAGCGGUGAAAUGUGUUGAUAUUGGAAGGAACGCCGGUGGCGAAAGCGACACGACUG